rnacentral:rRNA from 1 species
UAAUGCGUGACCGACCUGCCCUGUACUCCGGAAUAGCUCCUGGAAACGGGUGGUAAUGCCGGAUGCUCCACAUGAGCGCAUGCGAUUGUGGGAAAGCUUUUUUGCGGUAUGGGAUGGGGUCGCGUCCUAUCAGCUUGACGGUGGGGUAACGGCCUACCGUGGCUUCGACGGGUAGCCGGCCUGAGAGGGCGACCGGCCACAUUGGGACUGAGAUACGGCCCAGACUCCUACGGGAGGCAGCAGUGGGGAAUAUUGCACAAUGGGCGCAAGCCUGAUGCAGCGACGCCGCGUGAGGGAUGGAGGCCUUCGGGUUGUAAACCUCUUUUAGCAGGGAGCAAGGCUUUGGUUGAGUGUACCUGUUGAAUAAGCACCGGCUAACUACGUGCCAGCAGCCGCGGUAAUACGUAGGGUGCAAGCGUUAUCCGGAUUUAUUGGGCGUAAAGAGCUCGUAGGCGGUUCGUCGCGUCUGGUGUGAAAGCCCAUCGCUUAACGGUGGGUCUGCGCCGGGUACGGGCGGGCUGGAGUGCGGUAGGGGAGACUGGAAUUCCCGGUGUAACGGUGGAAUGUGUAGAUAUCGGGAGGAACACCAAUGGCGAAGGCAGGUCUCUGGGCCGUUACUGACGCUGAGGAGCGAAAGCGUGGGGAGCGAACAGGAUUAGAUACCCUGGUAGUCCACGCCGUAANCGGUGGACGCUGGAUGUGGGGCCCUUUCCACGGGUCCCGUGUCGGAGCUAACGCGUUAAGCGUCCCGCCUGGGGAGUACGGCCGCAAGGCUAAANCUCAAAGAAAUUGACGGGGGCCCGCACAAGCGGCGGNNNAUGCGGAUUAAUUCGAUGCAACGCGA